UACGGGGGGGGUAAGCGUUGUUCGGAAUUACUGGGCGUAAAGGGCUCGUAGGCGGCCAACUAAGUCGGACGUGAAAUCCCUCAGCUUAACUGGGGAACUGCGUCCGAUACUGGAUGGCUUGGAUUCGGGAGAGGAAUGCGGAAUUCCAGGUGUAGCGGUGAAAUUCGUAGAUAUCGGGAGGAACACCAGUGGCGAAGGCGGCGACCUGGGCCAAUAUUGACGCUGAGGUGCGAAAGCGUGGGGAGCAAACAGG
rnacentral:rRNA from 1 species